CUGUGGCAGAAAUGCCUCUGCCACGUGUAGAGGGGCCUGCUUGCCAGCCUCCUGCCAAAAGACUAUGGACCCUUUAAAAACUUAUGUUAUUUAUGUACUUUUGUACUCCAGAAAGAGAGACCGACCAUUGACCCUAAUUCCCUGGAACUGUUUUGGGCAUAGGACCAUGUGUAUGGUUGGUCAAAAUUAUGACUUCCAUGGAAAUCCCGCACCCUGAACCAAUCUGGAUGAUAUUUGGAUAUGUUGGUCCCCCAGAUCGGGUAUAUCAGAAGAUAUGACUUUUGUAAGGUUUCCAUGUGUUUUGGGGGUCCAUUAACGGUUAUUGUAAAAUAUAUGUUUUCUGUGCCUGUAGAUAAUUGAGUUUAGUACAGUCCCUGAUUAAAUUAUCUCUCAGGCACAGGGGAGGGAUUAUCCUGUUUUGUGUGGGAGUGUCCUGGACCUGAGAACCAAUGUAAUUACAGUGUGUACUUUGUUACAGUCCCUUCUCAGGUCCAGUGGGGAAUGCCCUUGGAAUAUGUUAUGGAAAACCCCUUGCAUGGGGACUUGCAUAUAAGGCCUGUUGUGGCUACCAUUAAACAGUUCAACUUCACCCUCAACAUAGAGCCUCGUCUCGUGAUUGUAGGGAACAGCUAUACCAGCUAUAUCACUAGCUCUUGUAAGAGCUAUCCUGCUAUACUCUCUGGAGUAGGAGAGGUCUACCCACUGGAAGCUGGAUCCCUGACUUGGAUCCAGGGUGGGUGUAGGACAACGAGACUCCAGCCAAGCUGCUGUGGCUAAGGGUCUACAGUGCUGAUGGUGUCUGGUGGAGUGCUUGGAAGUACUCUGAGGUACUAGGAAGCAGUGAUUGGCUCAGGCAUCCAGUCGGGGUGCCAGGCGGUCCGUCACACACAUCUAUACAUACAUCCACACACAAGCACCAAUACAUGUACCUACACAUGUACCAAUGUACCUACACAUACAUAGACCUAUAUAUAUGUACACAUACACUUAUUCACAUAUAUAAGCAUGUAUGCAUAUAUGCACAUACUUUAUACAUACACACACACACACAUAUAUAUAUGUAUACGCAUACACAUACACACAUGAACUCAUAUACACAAAUAUAAAUGCACAGUCACAUAUAUAAGCACACAUGCAUACGAGUAUGGAAAAGUACUUUGUAUAUUGAUAGAAUAAACAUUUCAUUGGGAUGCAUUUUAAAAUGUUGACACAUAUAACAGAUCAGUAAGAUAAUGCUGGGGGAGUGUUCAUGUAAAGUUUUGGUAGUGGGACAGGAAACCCAAAUCAAUAUUAGUCCUCUAUUCUUGCUGUUAAACAUUUUGAUUAUUCUGGCUUCAAGAGUUUUUCUUUCUUGGGUAUUUUUAAAACCCCUUUUCAGUACUUUGAUUUUUAGGUCCUUGAUUGAGUGGCCAGGCUGGGUAAAAUGAUGUCCCGCAGGAGUGUAGUAGGAUUCUUCUUUGUGGUGUUUAAUGGAGUGUGCAUAUUCAUUCUGCCAUUUAAUUGCAGGGUUGUUUCCCCAACAUAGCAUCCUAGGUAGCAUUUGGUGGAUUGAAUCAUGUUUAUGACACUGCUGGAUGUGAGGAGUAUGAACCUUUAAUGCUGUAGGUUUUAUUGUUGUGUAUGGUUGUGUUGUCUGUGCAUAUGUGCUGGCACUGUUUGCAGGGAGGUUUUUUUGCAUUGACCCGUCCCAUUUUCUUUAUUCUUCCCAUCAGUGGGCAGCUUCCUGUUGAUUACUUUUUGUUGGAGGUUUGGUGGUUGUCUGAAGGCCAAAAUGGGUGUUUCGUAGAAAAUAUUUUUCAGAGUCUCAUCUUCUGUUAACAUUGGGUUGUAUUUGACCACAAGUGGUACUCAUGUACAUAUUUUUUUCUCUCUGUACUGUAGCAGGCGCGUGCAUGGAGUUUUUACUGCAGAGUUGAUUUGUUUGGUAAUAGUCUUUGGUUUGUAGCCUUUCUGUCUCAUAGAUGGGGAGAGUACAUUUAGAUGGGAAUUAGUCAUUAGGGUCAGAGCAUAUGCAAUGGUACCUAGUUGCUUGGCUGUUGAUGUUUAGUAUGGGAGGGGUGGAAGCUGGAGCUGUAAAGGCAACUGCAUAUGUCUGUGGGUUUUCUGUAAACUGAGGUGUGGAUUGUGCCAUUGUUACAUGUCACAGUGGUGUCCAGAAAAUUCACAAAUCUAGUAGAAUAUUACAUUUUUAGUUUAAUUGAUGGAUGGAAUGAGUUAAAACAGUCAUGGAAUUGUAUCAGUUUAUGUUCGGUUUCAUAGUUACAGUUACAUAGCUGAAAAGAGACUUGCGUCCAUCAAAUACAGCCUUCCUAACAUAUGUUUUUGCUGUUGAUCCAAAAGAAGGCAAAAAACCCCAGUCUGAAGCGCUUCCAAUUUUUCAACAAACUAGGAAAAAAUUCCUUCUUGACCCCAAAAUUGCAGUCAGAUGUCUCCUUGGAUCAAGCAGCUAUUACCCCACUAAUUAGAAAUUAUAUCCCUGUCUGUUAUGUUUUUGCAAGUAUUUAUCCAAUUGUAGUUUAAACAUCUGUAUAGACUCUGACAAAACCACCUAUUCAGGCAAAGAAUUCCAUAUCCUUAUUGCUCUUACUGUAAAAAAAACCUUUUCUUUGCCUUAGAUGAAAUCUCCUUUCUUCACGCCUAAAUGUGUGACCUCAUGUCCUAUGUAUAGCCCUGUUUAUGAAUAGAUGUCCAGAUAAUGGUUUAUACUGGCCCCGAAUAUAUUUGUAUAAUGUUAUCAUAUCCCCUCUCAGGCGCCGUUUUUCCAAACUAAAGAGAUUUAAAUUUUUUAACCUUUCUUCAUAACUAAAAUGCUCCAUUCCUUUUAUCAAUUUUGUAGCUCGUCUCUGCACUUUUACUAGUGCCAUGAUAUCUUUCUUUAGAACAGGUGCCCAAAAUUGCACAGCAUAUUCAAGGUGUGGUCUUACCAGCAAUUUAUAAAGAGGCAAAAUUAUAUUUUCAUCUUGAGACUUUAUAACCCUAUUUAUACAUUACAAAACCUUACUGGCCUUAGCAACGGCAGAUUGACAUUGCAUAUUGCUGCCUAAUUUGUUGUCUAUAACAAUUCCCAAAUCCUUCUCGUGUGUGAUUAUCCCUAGUUCACUACCAUUUAGGGUGUAAAUUGCUUGUGCAUUCUUAACCCCGAAGGGCAUAACUUUGCAUUUCUCCACGUUAAAUUUAAUCUGCCAUUUUAGUGCCUAGUUCCCCCAAUCUAUCCAAAUCCCUCUGCAGCAAGGCAAUAUCCUGCUCACAUUUUAUUACUUUACAAAGUUUUGUGUCAUCUGCAAACACUGAUACAUGGCUUUUGAUGCCCAUUUCAAGAUCAUUUAUAAAUAUGUUAAACAGAAGCGGUACCAAAACAGAACCCUGAGGGACACCACUUACCACUUUUGUCCAGCUUGAGAAUUUACCAUUAAUGACAACUCAUUGUACUCUAUCCUUAAGCCAAUGUUCUACCCAAGAACAAGAAUAUUAAUCUAGACCAAUAUCUUUUAGUUUGAAGACUAACCUAUUGUGAGGAACCGUAUCAAAUGCCUUGGCAAAAUCCAAGUAGAUCACAUCCACUGCAACACACUGAUCUAUACUUCUACUUACUUCUUCGUAGAAUGCAAUUAGGUUAGCUUGACAUGACCUAUGUUUCAUAAAACCAUGCUGAUUAUUGCUAAUAACACAGUUCUUCCCAAUGAAUUCCUGAAUAUCAUCCCUUAAUAGCCGUUCAAAUAAUUUCCCAGUCACAGAAGUUAAGCUCACAGGUCUAUAAUUUCCAGGCAAGGAUUUUGAACCCUUUUUAAAUAUAGGAACAACAUCUGCCUUCCUCCAAUCCUCCGGUACAAUACCUGAAACAAAAGAAUCUUGAAAAAUUAAAUAUAGAGGUUCACUUAUUUCCCCAGUUAGCUCCUUAAGUACUCGUGGGUGGAUACCGUCAGGCCCCAGAGCUUUAUUUACAUUAAUUUUCUUUAAUAGUUGUAGCACCUUGUCUCGAGUUAUCCAGUCACAAGUUAUCUGCAAGUUUGUUGCAGCAAUCAUUUGCUUAUCUCUUGCCAUAGGACCCUCAUUAAUAUAUACUGAAGAAAAAUAGUUAUUUAAAAUUUCUGCCUUUUCCUGGUCUUCAUUGACUAACAGACCCAUCUCUGUUUUCAGUGUACCUAUACUUUAAUUUUUAGUUUUUUUAGAAUUGAUGUGCUUGAAAAAAAUGUUGGGGUUGGUUUUGCAUUUUUUGGCUAUCAAUUUCUCAUUUUCUAGUUUAGCCACUUUAAUUGCCUUUUUGCAAGUAUUAUUGGCUUCCUUAUAUCUUAUGUAGGAUGCCUCUGAUUUGUCUGAUUUAAAUGCUUUAAACCCCCUAAGGAUUGGCUUCCUUAUAUCUUAUAUAGGAUGCCUCUGAUUUGUCCGAUUUAAAUGCUUUAAAUGCCCUCUUCUUAUUUUUAAUCUCUUGUUUUACUUCUCUACUAAGCCACAAUGGUUUUAAAUUUUUUUUAUGUUUAUUACCCAAUGGUACAUACUGUGAAAUGUACCUUUCUAAUAUUUGUUUGAAUAGUUUCCAUUUUUCCUCAGUAUUUUUAUCACUAAGGAGUUUAUGCCAGUCGAUAUGUUGCAGAGCUGCCAUAAUCUUAUUAAAGUUGGCUUUUUUUAAAUUAUACGUUUUAAUAUACCCCACAUGCUUUUGCUUUUUUGAGUUUAUUUCAAAAGUUACCAUAUUGUGAUCACUAUUUCCCAAAUGCUCCCCUACUUGAAUGUUGGUUAAAAGAUCAUCAUUGUUUGUUAUGACAAGAUCAAGAAGCAUCCUUUCUAGUUCGUGUUUGUACCAGUUGUGACUAGUGAUGUCCCGAACGGUUCGCCGAACGGUUCGCCAAACGGUUCGCCAAACGGUUC